AGUGGCGAACGGGUGAGUAACACGUGAGUAACCUGCCCUUGACUCUGGGAUAAGCCCGGGAAACUGGGUCUAAUACCGGAUAGGAACGUCCACCGCAUGGUGGUUGUUGGAAAGAUUUAUCGGUCAUGGAUGGACUCGCGGCCUAUCAGCUUGUUGGUGAGGUAAUGGCUCACCAAGGCGACGACGGGUAGCCGGCCUGAGAGGGUGACCGGCCACACUGGGACUGAGACACGGCCCAGACUCCUACGGGAGGCAGCAGUGGGGAAUAUUGCACAAUGGGCGAAAGCCUGAUGCAGCGACGCCGCGUGAGGGAUGACGGCCUUCGGGUUGUAAACCUCUUUCAGUAGGGAAGAAGCGAAAGUGACGGUACCUGCAGAAGAAGCACCGGCUAACUACGUGCCAGCAGCCGCGGUAAUACGUAGGGUGCGAGCGUUAUCCGGAAUUAUUGGGCGUAAAGAGCUCGUAGGCGGUUUGUCGCGUCUGUCGUGAAAGUCCGGGGCUUAACCCCGGAUCUGCGGUGGGUACGGGCAGACUAGAGUGCAGUAGGGGAGACUGGAAUUCCUGGUGUAGCGGUGGAAUGCGCAGAUAUCAGGAGGAACACCGAUGGCGAAAGCAGGUCUCUGGGCUGUAACUGACGCUGAGGAGCGAAAGCAUGGGGAGCGAACAGGAUUAGAUACCCUGGUAGUCCAUGCCGUAAACGUUGGGCACUAGUGUGGGGACCAUUCCACGGUUUCCGCGCCGCAGCUAACGCAUUAAGUGCCCCGCCUGGGGGAGUACGGCCGCAAGGCUAAAACUCAAAGGAUUUGACGGGGCCCGCACAAGCGGCGGAGCAUGCGGAUUAAUUCGAUGCAACGCGAAGACCUUACCAAGGCUUGACAUGUCUCGAUCGCCGUAGAGAUACGGUUUCCCCUUGGGGCGGAUCCACAAGUGGUGCAUGGUGUCGUCAGCU
rnacentral:rRNA from 1 species